CCUACGGGCGGCUGCAGUGAGGAAUAUUGCUCAAUGGGCGCGAGCCUGAACCAGCCAAGUAGCGUGAAGGAUGGCUGCCCUACGGGUUGUAAACUUCUUUUAUAAAGGAAUAAAUUAAGACACGUGUUCCUUUUUGUAUGUACUUUAUGAAUAAGGAUCGGCUAACUCCGUUCCAGCAGCCGCGUUAAUACUGAUUAUCCGUGCGUGUUCCGGAUUUAUUGGGUUUAAAGGGAGCGUAGAUGGGUUGUUAAGUCAGUUGUGAAAGUUUGCGGCUCAACCGUAAAAUUGCAAUUGAUACUGGCAGCCUUGAGUACAGUUGAGGUAGGCGGAAUUCGCGGUGUAGCGGUGAAAUGCUUAGAUAUCACGAAGAACUCCGAUUGCGAAGGCAGCCUACUAAACUGUCACUGACAUUGAUGCUCGAAAGUGUGGGUAUCAAACAGGAUUAGAUACCCGGGUAGUC
rnacentral:rRNA from 1 species